AUUGGUGAACAGCAGAUGUUGCUGCCUGA
rnacentral:piRNA from 1 species